AGAAGCAGGACUGUGAUCUGGGUGGGUGACAGCCUGGGUGAGGAGAGACUCCCACACAGGAGUCAUCAGCCACAGCAUCCACUGUGCAGAACCUCAAAAUGUGUCCCAUGCCCCCUCUGAAUUGAGCAUAAACUUGGACACAUCAAGUCCGCUUCCUUAGACUCAGAGCCCCUAUAGCACAUAUACGCACGAUCUCCAAGGAGAAGUACACAGUAUUAGAUGAGUUCAGCUUACCUUUCGGCUAUUAACAAUUAAUUCGUGCUGCCAUUGUGUUUUUAUAAAAAAGACUUUCUUUUCCACCUCUCUCCCAUUCAUCAUGUUCCAUAGAGCUCAGCUCUGUGAUCAGGAAACCAAUUGUAAAGUCCAGAAUGAGGACACGGGCUCUACAUGGUGUGGAAUGGCAGUGAGACGGGCUAGGACUUCAGAACUCAACUGAUCACACACAGGAGGGAGAAGAACAACCAAGCUGGGCUUCAAGAUGCCUUAUUUGGACACUAGUUUUUGAUGUGUCUCUGAUGGUUAUUAACCAGACAUUUCAAGGGCAAGAAACUAUUUCCCCAAAACUACCUUUUGAGACAUUUCCAGAGGCUGCCCUGUCCUCUCUGUCCAGAGACUCAGCCCCGACUCACCUCCUCUAGGAAGUCUCCCACACGGACCUCGCUCUGCUCCCUCCUCCUCACGGCUGACCCUGCUGGGUCGUCCUGCCAGCUCGGACACUUGUUUGUUGUGGCUUUUGUAAAAUACUCUGUAGUCA
rnacentral:lncRNA from 1 species